UACGAAGGGGGCUAGCGUUGCUCGGAAUCACUGGGCGUAAAGCGCACGUAGGCGGGUCGUUAAGUCAGGGGUGAAAUCCUGGAGCUCAACUCCGGAACUGCCUUUGAUACUGGCGAUCUCGAGUUCGGGAGAGGUGAGUGGAACUGCGAGUGUAGAGGUGAAAUUCGUAGAUAUUCGCAAGAACACCAGUGGCGAAGGCGGCUCACUGGCCCGAUACUGACGCUGAGGUGCGAAAGCGUGGGGAGCAAACAGG
rnacentral:rRNA from 1 species